UACAGAGGUCUCAAGCGUUGUUCGGAUUCAUUGGGCGUAAAGGGUGCGUAGGCGGCGCGGUAAGUCGGGUGUUAAAUCUCGGAGCUUAACUCCGAAACUGCAUUCGAUACUGCCGUGCUUGAGGACUGGAGAGGAGACUGGAAUUUACGGUGUAGCGGUGAAAUGCGUAGAUAUCGUAAGGAAGACCAGUGGCGAAGGCGGGUCUCUGGACAGUUCCUGACGCUGAGGCACGAAGGCCAGGGGAGCAAACGGG
rnacentral:rRNA from 1 species